CCGCAUUGAACACGGGUUUCGUCAGCAGCGGGCUGUAACUAACUUUUAACCAAGUUCGUUGUCGACGAAACCUGCAUACUGUGUGG
rnacentral:pre_miRNA from 1 species